CUUGUGCAACAUGGCUGCAGCAAAAUUUACUUCCCUCCCCCUGCUAAAACUAGUUCAAGAUUUCUCAGCAGAACUGCCAAAACUGAAUUUUGAAAGGCAAAAUAAAGUAUAUUGGGAAAUGCCGAGUCAGCACAAGAUCUUGCGCACACCACCCUUACCCCUUCCCAUCCCAUGAGGGCACUGGAACGACAACAGCAGCGGUGAUUCCUGGUGGGAAGUAUAGGCUAAGGCGGCAGUGGGGCUACUCUGUGUUACCACUCUCAGUGGGCUACCACUGGCAAGCACCUGCCUCCUUGAACUGUCCAGGAUGCUACUACCAUACUUCGAAGAAAUCAUCAUAUGUUUUCCCUUUCUGCUUUGCUUUAUUUGUGUCCUCCAUCUGCAAUUACAACUCUCUAUUACUGGAUCACAUAAAACCACUCCUAUUUAUUAUAAUUAUACUAAAUGCCGCCUUCUGCAGC